rnacentral:rRNA from 1 species
AUUGAACGCUGGCGGAAUGCUUUACACAUGCAAGUCGAGCGGCAGCACGGGGGCAACCCUGGUGGCGAGCGGCGAACGGGUAAGUAAUACAUCGGAACAUGCCCAGUCGUGGGGGAUAACACUUCGAAAGAAGUGCUAAUACCGCAUACGUCCUGAGGGAGAAAGCGGGGGAUCGCAAGACCUCGCGCGAUUGGAGUGGCCGAUGUCAGAUUAGCUAGUUGGUGGGGUAAAGGCCUACCAAGGCAACGAUCUGUAGCUGGUCUGAGAGGAUGAUCAGCCACACUGGGACUGAGACACGGCCCAGACUCCUACGGGAGGCAGCAGUGGGGAAUUUUGGACAAUGGGGGCAACCCUGAUCCAGCCAUUCCGCGUGAGUGAAGAAGGCCUUCGGGUUGUAAAGCUCUUUCGGCAGGAACGAAACGGCGAGCUCUAACAUAGCUUGCUAAUGACGGUACCUGAAGAAGAAGCACCGGCUAACUACGUG